rnacentral:rRNA from 1 species
UACGUAGGGCGCAAGCGUUGUCCGGAAUUAUUGGGCGUAAAGAGCUCGUAGGCGGUCUGUCGCGUCGGCUGUGAAAGCCCGGGGCUCAACCCCGGGUCUGCAGUCGAUACGGGCAGGCUAGAGUGCGGUAGGGGAGACUGGAAUUCCUGGUGUAGCGGUGAAAUGCGCAGAUAUCAGGAGGAACACCGGUGGCGAAGGCGGGUCUCUGGGCCGAUACUGACGCUGAGGAGCGAAAGCGUGGGGAGCGAACAGG